rnacentral:rRNA from 1 species
GACAGAGGUGCCGAGCGUUAGGCGGAAUCACUGGGCUUAAAGCGCGCGUAGGCGGCCCUGUAAGUCCGUUGUGAAAGUCAAAGGCUCAACCUUUGAAAGCCGAUGGAUACUGCAGGGCUAGAGUCCGGAAGAGGCGAGUGGAAUUCCUGGUGUAGCGGUGGAAUGCGCAGAUAUCAGGAGGAACACCAAUAGCGAAGGCAGCGCGCUGGGACGGUACUGACGCUAAGGCGCGAAAGCGUGGGGAGCGAACAGG